rnacentral:rRNA from 1 species
CCUACGGGUGGCAGCAGUGAGGAAUAUUGGUCAAUGGGCGUAAGCCUGAACCAGCCAAGUCGCGUGAGGGAUGAAGGUUCUAUGGAUCGUAAACCUCUUUUAUAAGGGAGUAAAGUGUGGGACGUGUCCUGUUUUGUAUGUACCUUAUGAAUAAGGAUCGGCUAACUCCGUGCCAGCAGCCGCGGUAAUACGGAGGAUCCGAGCGUUAUCCGGAUUUGUUGGGUUGAAAGGGUGCGUAGGCGGCCUUUUAAGUCAGCGGUGAAAGUCUGUGGCUCAACCAUAGAAUUGCCGUUGAAACUGGGAGGCUGGAGUAUGGUUGAGGCAGGCGGAAUGCGAGGUGUAGCGGUGAAAUGCGUAGAUAUAAGGCAGAACACCGAUGGCGAAGGCAGCCUGCCAAGCCAUGACUGACGCUGAGGCACGAAAGCGUGGGGAGCAAACAGGAUUAGAUACCCCAGUAGUC